rnacentral:rRNA from 1 species
AUUGAACGCUGGCGGCAGGCUUAACACAUGCAAGUCGAACGAGUGGCGGACGGGUGAGUAAUGCUUGGGAACUGCCCGAUAGAGGGGGAUAACUACUGGAAACGGUAGCUAAUACCGCAUACUAUCGGAUAACCCAUAUGGGAUUAGCUCGUUGGUGAGGUAAUGGCUCACCAAGGCGACGAUCCCUAGCUGGUCUGAGAGGAUGAUAACCCACACUGGGACUGAGACACGGCCCAGACGCCUACGGAGGCAGCAGUGGGAAAUAUUGCACAAUGGGCGCAAGCCUGAUGCAGCCAUGCCGCGUGUAUGAAGAAGGCCUUCGGGUUUUAAAGUACUUUCAGUCGGGAGGCGUUACCGACAGAAGAAGCACCGGCUAACUCCGUGCCAGCCGCCGCGGUAAUAC